rnacentral:rRNA from 1 species
GUGGGGAAUAUUGGACAAUGGGCGAAAGCCUGAUCCAGCAAUGCCGCGUGAGUGAUGAAGGCCUUAGGGUUGUAAAGCUCUUUCGGCGGGGACGAUAAUGACGGUACCCGCAGAAGAAGCCCCGGCUAACUUCGUGCCAGCAGCCGCGGUAAUACGAAGGGGGCUAGCGUUGUUCGGAAUUACUGGGCGUAAAGGGCGCGUAGGCGGUUCGUUUAGUCAGGCGUGAAAGCCCCAGGCUCAACCUGGGAAUUGCGCUUGAUACUGGCGAGCUCGAGUCCGGGAGAGGAUGGCGGAAUUCCCAGUGUAGAGGUGAAAUUCGUAGAUAUUGGGAAGAACACCGGUGGCGAAGGCGGCCAUCUGGACCGGUACUGACGCUGAGGCGCGAAAGCGUGGGGAGCAAACAGGAUUAGAAACCCUAGUAGUCC